rnacentral:misc_RNA from 1 species
GGGUGAACCAGCGGAGGGAUCAUUGCUGGAACGCGCCCCAGGCGCACCCAGAAACCCUUUGUGAACUUAUACCUUACUGUUGCCUCGGCGCUAGCCGGUCCUCCGGGGCCCCUCACCCUCGGGUGUUGAGACGGCACGCCGGCGGCCAACCUAACUCUUGUUUUUACACUGAAACUCUGAGAAUAAAACAUAAAUGAAUCAAAACUUUCAACAACGGAUCUCUUGGUUCUGG